AGAUGGUUCAUACUGCUAAUGUUUUAGGUAGAAUGGCCCCUUAAGCCCAGCUACAUCCAUGUGGGUGUCUGUGUUUUCUAGCUUUGAAAGAGAAGGCUCAUGUGGUUAAGGUUACGUGCUUCCUUUAAAAAAAAAAAAAAAACUGUGUCAAAUAAGAGCUCAACCUGGUUUAUGACUCUUAUGCUAUAUGUGAUCUCACUGUACACUGUAUUUCAUUUGUUCCCUAGUCUGUGAAUAAUGCAAUAUAACUGGAUUCCAGUCUUUCUACAGAUGACUUUUAUACACUACGUGACUUGUGACCAUUAUCAGUCGGUUUAUUUGGUGGAAGGACAUACAGCUUCUCUGCCAUGUUCCUACAAGGAUAGUGCAAUUAGCAAUCUCAAAUGGUAUCGCCAAUAUCCAGGAGAGAAACCAAAUGAACUCAUGACUAUUUUUACUGAUGGGAACAGAACAGAAGGAAGAUUCACGGCUGAGCUGCAGAAGAAGGACAAAACCAGUUUCCUCUAUGUACCAAACACACGUGUGACUGACUCUGCAUAUUAUGUCUGUGCUACUGAUGCACUGUGUCAGACAUCCUAUGGCAGCCAAUGCAAGAACACUGUUCUAUUUGGUACUUGUCUCUCAGUAACUGUAAUGGAGUUGUUUAUUGUUUACAUGGAAUAA